ensembl:lncRNA
CAGAGGAAAGAAGGGUCUGAUGGACAGUGUCAGAUUCUCUAGAGGAGUCAAGGAGAAUGAGAACCCAGAGGAAGGGUGGUAGCUCUACCCAACCGGAGAGCUUCCGAUACUGCGAGGAAGGCAGUCUCGGUGGAAUGGCCCUCUUGAAUCCAGACUAGUAUCCAUCAAGGAGAUCAUCCUUCGAUGAUCACCUGGGUAACAAAGGCAGAAAACUGGUUGUAAACAGCAGGUUCAACAAUUACUGAUUGAAAAGUGUGAAGUGAGCCUGGACUGUAACUCUAGACUAAGUUCAGAGAAAGUUUCUUUAGUGGUUACUAACUAGUUGAGUCUGUCCUUUAGUUCACAAAAUUAGGUGUAGGAAAAGGUCGGCCUAUCGUAUAUUUCCCCGGAGCCAUUCACGAAACUUAUCACCGGUUAGCCACGCCCUUUAAAGAGACCCACCAAUCACAGCGGGAAGUGUCUUAAGUAGCCGUUCAGGAAGUGUAAUUCCUGUCACUGCUGCAGACCUUCGAGAUGGCCACGCCUAUAACGUAACCUACCAAUCAUCUAGCGCCGUCCCCUUGUAUCCAAUGAGAAAUCAGGCCUACUUACUGCCACGCCUUUCAACAUUACCCACCAAUCUGCAGACGGCGUCCUUCCCGCUGUGUAGGGCGCCAUCUUUCAAAACAAUCGUACAUUAUUAAGCGAAUGGGGACAUUCUUUCUCCUUUUCCCCCCUCCUUCCUACUUAAUAUAAUUACUUGUUACGUUUUUUUAUUAAAAAAAAAAAAAACCCGGAUAAUGAAAUUAAUUUACCUCCAUAAUCUUUAAUCUGAGUGUCUGUGCUAUCGCUGCCAGAGAAGCGAGUGGGACAACUCGCUGCGGGGUCGGGAGUCGUUUCUCUGUUUCACUCGGCCGAACCGCUGAGCAAGAACGACGACCCCCCAGUUCCAUCAUCAUGUCCCUGGAUUUUGACGCUGCUGGGCUGCAGACGCAGCACGACGAGGACGAUGACUAUGACCAGGAGGACUACGAGAGGCAGCAGGAGGUGCGUUGAUGGGAUUGUCAUUCACAGCCUUUCUUUGUUUUCCAGGAACCUGACACCACCACCACCUGCGCCAGCACACACCUUUGGCUUUUAGCUCCUUGAACAGGCUUUUGUGGGCUCCUUUUUCCUUGUACUCCCAAGCUUGAAUGUUAAAUCAAGCCUCUGGCUGGGUGUCUUAGAGAUCAGCCUUUCUCACACUUAUGGAAGUCUAAGUUAUUAUAGGAUUAGGGAAUAGAGAGUCUUCUUUUACACCCUUCGCCUUCAUUUGUCUGCCCGAAAGUUUCUAAGGUCAAGCCUUACUGUUCAGUCCUCUCAGUUAGCAGUUUUAAAUAUGUCACAUCUCUGGGUCACAAAAAAAACUCAGUUCCCCUUCUCUGGGACUGUUGUUCCUCACACUUCUUACACCAUCACACUGCUUACUGCAAACCAGUAGUUUUCAAGGUCAAAAAGUAACUAUAGCUGUUGAUGGGAUGUGUUUCUAAGAAACACCAGGCGAUGUGCUUAGUCAAGAGUAACCAGUGCUUCCCUGCAAAGUACUUUACCAGUUCAAAUUGGAAUAAUGAAGCUUAUUUUCAGAUUCAGAUCAAGUGAUUGCACGGUGUCCUCCACAAGAGAGUGCCAUUGUGUCACAAUGUCGAAGCUGUGUUACUGUAAAUUGACUGUGGGAGAAACCUUUGUGUACCGCGGG